GCAGCCGAGAGACUCCGAGCUUCUGGUCGCAGAAGAAGCGCACGUACGAGAGCAGCAGCCCGGCGGCGAGGAGCAGGGCUGCGGCCGCCAGCAGCUGCGUGUGCGCCAGGGACAGGACGGUGUCCGACUUCUUGUACAGAUGCUGCAGAGAAGAAAAAACAAUCCAAAACAAAGUGUCCCCUUCUGUAACUCAGUGAUAACUUCACCCUGUCCAACUGUGGAAGGGGAUGCUGCUGAAUCGUUUAUGCUAAUGAGAAGCGCGGACCGCCUCUGAUUGGUCGGCUGCGCGCCGCGCCCUCCCCGCGGCUCGUCCGUCCAAUCGGCGGCGACGCGGCGGUGAGCAGAGCUCACGCUAUCCGCCCAUUGGACGGCCGCGCCGGCGACGGGCACCCCCCGCGGCCGCUGAUUGGCCGGCGGGUGGAGCGGGAUGGUAGUAUGAUGUGAUGUCAACGGAAAGGUGAGCGCUUCAUUUAUUUAACUGGGCGGCGAAGAUGGGUCGUUGUUUGGACAGGAGUGAUCACUCUGAGGCGUAAAAUCCCUUAUGGCAAAAAAAGAAAAAGAAAAUCACAGCUGCCCUAGGGCUGUUGCCAUAGCGACAAAAGUUGUGCUUCCUUAAAUAAUCUUACUAUGCACAGUAUACAAAUCUGUGCUGCCUAACAGAUGGUCUGCAGAAAGUUACAUCUGUUCAGGUUCAUAAUAUUCUGGAUAAUACGGCUGAAUCACAGACAUAUUCAUGGUACCCAGCAAAAGGUGCAGAGUGAGAGAUCUUUCCAGUGCUCACUGUAAAAAGUCGAUAAAGUUUUUGUCUGUGUCAAAGUGUCUCUAGAGUCUUUAGUUACUUAGCAGUCAGCUUCAAAUACUGGGAAUGGUUUUUCAUACAAAGUAUAUAUUAGAUUAAUUAUGAGGAUCCAAACAUCUGGCACAUCAGUUAAAUCUGACAGGUGGAAGAAGAUGUGGUGAAAAGAAUUUGACCCAUUCGCACAUUUUAUUUUUAAAUAAAAACCUACUGGCAAUCACUUCUAGCUUUGAUUAUGGAAAUGCUCAAAAUUGAACAAGAAGUUAACGCCCCCCCCCCCCCCCCCCCCCCACAAAAAAAAGUAUAUUUCUUUGGGAAAAGAAUCACAUGAACUAAGUCCAGUAACAGAAAAAAAACACGCUAUGAUACGAUCCCAUGAUGUUUUAUUACAUAAUCAUGUUUUCACAUUAGUCAUCAGCCAAUAUGAAUAUUGCCUUGUUACAUCAAACGCAGGGUGACACUUUCAUCGCACCAGUGAUGAAUAUUGACACGCAAACAUUUUAAAAAUGUUACAUUGAAUUAGUCCAUAACUCAGAUACUGAGACAUUCCAUCUCCACACAGUGUCUCUAGUUACACUUCCUUAUAGUUGGAGUGCAAUAAUUGUAAAUCCCAGUGGGAUGAAUCUAGUGCUCUACAUGUUUUAAUAUGUGUGUUUCAUCUCCACAACUUUUGUUUGAGGUCAAAGGUCAUUCGCAAACACAGGAAGGCCAGGUUUUUUUUAUUAUAUGUAGUGGUUGAAGAUAGAUUCAUAUUUUUCUUGCUUCCCUGAUGAGACACUGGGUUCACCAUUCUGCCUGACGAAGGCCUGAAAUAAUAAAAAAAUAAACCUUU